AGAACAGAUCGGCUGUGAGCUUGUGGCUGCGAGUGUUGCGAUUGCGAUAGAGAUGGAGUCACGGCGACUUAACGACCUCGGCGCCGACGACUCUCAAGUGUGACUGCUUGUUUCCUCAUUUUUAACCUUCAAUCUUCAACUCUUCAACAGAUAUGGAAGAUAAUGGAAGCACUACUACCAGUGUUAGAUCACUUUGGCGUAUAGUUGCAGUGGUUCAAGUUCAAUAAUGCCCUGUGCUCCUAAAGCUGAUUCGAGAGUCGAGAUUAUUUAUGUUAUUUUGAUUUUUGAGAAUUUGUUAAACUUAUUUAAGCUUAAUGUGUUAGACACUUAGACUUAUGCUAUGGGCCAGUGUUCUUAUCAUUUUAUGUUGAUGUUAAUGUUGUUGCUGCACUGCUUAUUAGUUAAACUUACAACUUUAUGUUUGGCAGAAUGGCUGUAACCAGUAGGUUUGCAAACUUUGCAUAAUAUUAUUGCUACUGUGAGCGUGACACUUUAGUUGUUAUUACUUAUUGGUGUAAACUUGAA